ensembl:lncRNA
UUUUUGUUUUUGGUAUUUUGUUUUGUUCUGUUUUUGACAGUAAAAGUCCUUAUCUCUCCUGGCUAAAUGAAGAAGAAAAUGGAUUUACACUCAUCUGUUGGCCAAGGCCAAAGGAGAAUCAGAACAUAAGAAGGCAGAAAGGGCAGUUAUGAGCCAGACCAGAUUUUUCUAAAGCUCAAAAAAAAAAAAAUUCCAAAACAUCCCUCAGGACCAGAGCGAAGCAGAAUCUGGGCAGCCAGGAGGACAGGACAGGACCAGGGGUGACACUCCCCUCCCCACCCUGUCCCAGGCGAAGCCCUGGCUCUGAAAGGAGAAAGUAAUCACUUGUCAGCUACAUCAGAGCAUUUCAUUUAUAUGGAGGCAUCUUCCUGAGUAUUAGAGUAAAAUCCACCUUUGAUCUCAGGGGAUAAUCCUUGGUAUCGCCAUGGGCGCUAAUGGAGAAGCAGUUGUAAAAGGAUUUGCCUUCAGUUCUGUACCGAACAUGGCCCUUUUUGGCAGGUACAGAAGCCAAGGGGGGAUGGGGUCCAGAAUAAAAAGGAAGUGGGGUUCAGAGUUCCAGGGGGAGAGCAGGAGAUUUGGGACCAGGGGGCUGUGUGUCACAUGAUCAGUGACCAAGCCGUGUGCUGAGCAAUCACUUCCUGGUUCUUUCCUGGACAGUCAAGAGUGUGAGAGCUUCUUCAAGCUCUGUGAUGAGUCUAGAAACAUAAUAAAGGGUCCGAUGUUGGAACAAAAAGCCACAAGGUGGCCAGAUUUCACUGACAAUCAGCAUUCUCAGUUUCUUGUGAGAAGGUUCUAGCUGGAUGGGAAAAUCGAGAUCCAGGUUUUCAGGUCUGCGCUCACCCCACCAUCUCAGUAGCUCCCUUUUGCUUAUUUCAGAAAAGGCCGAAACUGUUCAAAGACAAUGAAAACCAGGAGUUACCAUCGUGGCGCAGGGGUUAACGAAUCCGACUAGGAACUAUGAGGUUGCGGGUUCGGUCCCUGCCCUUGCGCAGUGGGUUAACGAUCCGGCGUUGCCGUGAGCUGUGGUGUAACAGAUGUGGCUCAGAUCUAGCGUUGCUGUGGCUCUGGCAUAGGCCGGCGGCUACGGCUCCGAUUAGACCCCCAGCCUGGGAACCUCCAUAUGCCGCGGAAGGGGCCCAAAGAAAUAGCAAAAAAUAAAAAAAAAAAAAAAGACAAAGACAAUGAAAAUCAGAUGCCAGGUGGCACCUUCUGCUGCCCCGUGGCCCUGUGGCUCCCUCCUGAGAGCAGUGAGAAGAUAGGCCAUGGUGGGGAGGCCAGGAGCAAACCCAAGAUGGGAAAGUGAGAAACUGAAACCGGAGAAGCCCUCCAGAGAGCCAAGACACACAAAGCAUUGCAACCGAACUCUGAAAGGCGAGGGCAAGAAGGGAUGGGCGCACCUCGCUGCCUCCUGCCAAAAUUCCCCCAGGGAUCUGGAAAAGCAAGGUGUCUCUUCUGUGGCCCCAGCAAAUCUAUUGAGAGGAACUGCAGCUGAUAUUUAACAGGGCCCCCAGAAAGCCUUUUUCAUAAUUUCAAAAAGUCAUUAUUUUAACCACUGAUGUGUAUAAUAAACUCUUGUCAGCCUGACAUUAAAAUCUGUUUCUUUUCUCUGCUCCCCACCCCCUUCCCCACAAAGCCCUUGCUUCCCACAAGCAUGGCACAUGUUCUAUUAUUGUUAUUUUAGGAUUUCGUCAAGGAGCUCUGUGAUGGGCAGUUAUUUUGUUAAGUGGCAGUGCGUUUAUCUAACACACACACCAUCUCGCUGCACUAAAAGAGCGAAAGAUUGGAACACGAUCCGCCUCUCCACCUGCAGCGUGGGACUGGGUUCUCUUCUGGGAGCAGUGAUGGGUUCAGAAAACCGGUGAGAAGAGGGAAACUCCAAAGGGGCAUGUUACCCCGAUCCUUAGAACUUAAGGGCAAAAGACCCAUGUCAGGGGGUGGGGGAAGAAAACUGAAAGACAGGUUUUGUUUCCCCUCCUCCCGCUCAAGUUUUACAGUAACCUGCAUUCUGCAGUUUAGAGGAU